rnacentral:lncRNA from 1 species
AAAAAAAGGAGCCAAAAUAAUUAGCCGAGAAUUGAUGUGUGAUGAUUGAAGAGUGUUCAAGUGAAGGGGAGAUCUUGAUGUGACGAACUUACUUGUAAAUGAGAGAUUGUCAGGAUAUCACAAGUGAGUUAAGAGUUUCACAUUGGAUAAAUAAUUAAAGAGUAAAUGACUUAUAUACAUGAAUAGACUCAAGAACUAAUAAAUUAAGUUUUUGGAUCAAAUUGAGUUACAAACAUGUAUGUUAGUGUCUUGCAUAUGCGCACGCGACAUGCAGGCUCCUCGGUUCUCCCCUAACAACUGAUAUAUGAUAUAGACCGUGACGCCCCCAAAAUAGGUAUACAUCACUAUCUUGAGUCGCCAAAUACAUGGUAUAAAAUUCAAAUACAACUUAAUUAUACAACAGUCGUGUAAAAUACGACAUAGCAUAAUCUAAAAGUUUUAAUAAGAAUAUUAUAAUCUAGAUAAUAUCCACACUUAAUGGAGUCCUCAUUAUAUUUAUUGUCACACUAUUUCACAGAAUAGUGAGGACUACUAAAACAACCAUCUGGACCGUCAAUCCGUUCCCCGACUCGUCCUAGCUAUAUUCUCAUUUCCUGAAGAGAACAGUGAAAGAAAGGGUGAGCUCAACUAGCCCAGUAAGAAAUAUUAUGACUAAGAUAAUGCAGAAUAAAUUAUCCUUAGCCUUCAACAGUAUAACAACUGAUAGAAUAUAAUAGACAACAAGUUUUAGAUCAACAACUGCAGCGGAAUAAGCAAUCUAUUAAAAGAGUCAAGUAGAGCAUAAAAUCUACUAUCUUCUAUGAUUUAAAAAGUUUUUCAUCAACUUUAUCGCUGAGACUCAGGUUAACAAAUAAAAUCAAAUCAUCCCUGCACCACGGCCAAGGAUAUUCAUGUAAUCAUCAAUGNNNNNNNNNNNNNNNNNNNNNNNNNNNNNNNNNNNNNNNNNNNNNNNNNNNNNNNNNNNNNNNNNNNNNNNNNNNNNNNNNNNNNNNNNNNNNNNNNNNNNNNNNNNNNNNNNNNNNNNNNNNNNNNNNNNNNNNNNNNNNNNNNNNNNNNNNNNNNNNNNNNNNNNNNNNNNNNNNNNNNNNNNNNNNNNNNNNNNNNNNNNNNNNNNNNNNNNNNNNNNNNNNNNNNNNNNNNNNNNNNNNNNNNNNNNNNNNNNNNNNNNNNNNNNNNNNNNNNNNNNNNNNNNNNNNNNNNNNNNNNNNNNNNNNNNNNNNNNNNNNNNNNNNNNNNNNNNNNNNNNNNNNNNNNNNNNNNNNNNNNNNNNNNNNNNNNNNNNNNNNNNNNNNNNNNNNNNNNNNNNNNNNNNNNNNNNNNNNNNNNNNNNNNNNNNNNNNNNNNNNNNNNNNNNNNNNNNNNNNNNNNNNNNNNNNNNNNNNNNNNNNNNNNNNNNNNNNNNNNNNNNNNNNNNNNNNNNNNNNNNNNNNNNNNNNNNNNNNNNNNNNNNNNNNNNNNNNNNNNNNNNNNNNNNNNNNNNNNNNNNNNNNNNNNNNNNNNNNNNNNNNNNNNNNNNNNNNNNNNNNNNNNNNNNNNNNNNNNNNNNNNNNNNNNNNNNNNNNNNNNNNNNNNNNNNNNNNNNNNNNNNUCCCCUAAUAGUAAAUCAUGUGAAUUAAUAGUAAAUCAUGUGACUCAAUAGUUCUAAACAUGUGAAAAAAAUAAUUACAGUAUAGUACCUUCAACUAUACCUCUAUUUUUAAUUUAGUCAUGCAAGUAUUAUCAAUCUUGCACCAACUCCCCUAAUAGUAAAUCAUGUGAAUCAAUAAUACAUGCAUGUGAACACAUAGUUAUAAGCAUGUGAAUUAAUAACAAUUAAUUGCUCAUUUAUCCGGUUAAUUACCCGAUUGGUCAAUAUAACCUCCAGACAUCAAUUAUUAUCGAAAUAAAUGUUGAUUUUUACUAACACUAAUAAUUCUAACACAAUGGAGCUAUCAAUUUCAUCUUUAAUCAACACGAACUUAUUCAUCAUUAAUAUUAUAAUUCAUAAUAUUUAACAACCAGGUCGUUCCCAAAAAAGAGGCUUUCCGAUAAGGAUUUUUCCCUAUUGGCGCGCAAUUAGAUUAUCUAACCUCUCCUUGAUAGAACUUCUAGACAUUGUCAAUAUUACAAAUAAUAAUAUGAAUAACUUUGUCGUCUCAAUUAUUGAUUUAAUAAUAUAACAUAUUAUACAGAUGAUACUGUGACAAUAAUUGAAUCAAUAAUAUGAGAGAUAUGAUGCAACAAUUACUAUAGCAAUAAUUGAGUAUAACUGAGUGACUUCUUACAUAAGCAUCAAUAAUCAAUACCGUGUGCUACUAUGCAAGCACGCGUAUUACUGUACUUUUACAACCGGGUAGUUCGACAGUUUUAACGGUAACACUUUCACCAUUAUUUUUAUAAAAAGAUAAAUCUGUCGUUUUCUUACUAUGACAAUACUUCUGUUGUGGGGUCCACCAAUGAUUGUGCCGUCAUACGAAUAUUCCCUGUUAAAACGAAUAUUCCCCGACCAAUCGAAUAUUUUAUAACAACUUGCUUACUUUGCAAAAAUUUUCACAUAUCACCCUUAACUUUAACCUUUUAUUAAUUUAACCAUUUACGAAAUAAAAUAAUAAUUAUAAGAAAAUUGAAUACUUUCAUUUCAUAAAAUUUGGGGUCUUACAUAGACUAUGCACGAUAAACAAGAAUAAUUCAUUGAGCAAAUGGUGGACUCUUAUCGCAGAGGCUGUUGGCCUGGUUGGCUCUAGACAAGAGAAUAUUGAAGAGUGUGGACUCAUCGUUAGGAGAGACAUGAUGGGCUAGUCUCAAUGAAUUAUGGAUGCUUGUGGAUUAUGUACUCUUUUGAGUAAAGUAGAGGACUUAAUGGGCUUGACAGAUGCUCUUGGUGGAUCAAACAAGAGUUGCUGAAAAGGUGGCUCGUAGGACUAAUUAUGAUCAAAAGAGUAUGGUUAAAGUUUAAGGGGGAGCUUAAUGUCAAUGUGAAUGGAGAGAACACACACAAAAGAGUAUGAUUAAAGUUCAAGGAAGAGCUUGGUGUCGAUGUGAAUGGAGAGAUCACAAGUUAAGGGGGAGAUUGUUGAGGUACCGCGUGAUAAUAAAGUCUCACAUCAGAACACAAGGUUAAAGAUUGAAGACAUAUAAAUUUUAAUGGACCAUAGAUCUACUAAGUUAACUUUUUGAGUCAAGAUGUGAUUUCAAAUCAGCAUAUAUGAGCUGAAUAUUCCCAACAAAACCUUAACACGUUUUUUCAUCAAGAUUAAUCAAGUCUCACAUAGUAAGAAUAAACUCACAUAUAAGAAGAAAUAAACUGUCACAUAAAGGCAAAAGAAUAAACUCAUACAAGUGAAAAUUGAACAUUGAACAUGAGAUCUAAAAGUUAUUAUGAGAUUAUGUCCGUGUCUCAAUUUGGACAAUUUUAAUAUUGAAUAUUAUCAACUAAUGAAUUAAAUUAAGCUCUAAGGAUAUGGUCCUGUUUAUGCUUACUUAUUGUAAUAGUUUUUAGCUUUUUCUAAAAGUAAAAAGUUGAAUUAUGAGUUUAUUGUAGUGCCAAAAACGAUAGCUUAUUUGAGAUAUUCUAAAUUUUUUGUACAUGAUUCAAGUACUAAUAAGCAAGUUAAGAUUAUUUUAUUUUUGCUAGUUUGGGGGUUGGAAAUUUGAACUCUGGACCUCUUGCAUGGCAAAGACUAUACAUACCAACUGAGCCAAAGGUGAUUGGUUUAAUAUUUUUGAUGAUUCUAAUAUCUGAUAUGGUUGAUCUUAAUAUCAACAACUAAUAUUUUUAUCAUUACUAACAAAAUUAAUCAGAUUUAUUAGUUAGUGUAUUUGAUGAAGUUGGAGCUGGAGAGGUGUAACAGAUGCUUGUCAAAUCCCAUACCAAUACUAUAUAUGGCGACCACAACGAAUUAACAUUAAUUAGCUAAUUUAAAUAUAUAUUACAAAUAUGAAAACUUACAUAAUAAAUUUUUUAUUUUUUUUUCUAAUGUUCAUUUUUUUUAAUAAUUAUACAUGCUGCAAAACGCAGCAUGGAUCAAACAAGACAAUCAUGCUACGAAUGUUGUUAAUAUAAAAGUACAAACAAGAUACAAGAGUCUAAAUACAAUAAGUAUGAACUUACCGGACAAAGUAGAGAGAAACCUAACCUUGACAUAAAAACUCAAACAAACCAAAAAUAAAAAUAAUAAUGGCAUAUACUUGCAAGGAAGGAUAAGAUAAACACAAUUUGUUGGCAGCGACCUGUGACGCUCCCAAAUUCAGAUACAUCUACUUAAAUUUGAUGUUCCACGAUGCAAUUUAUAAUCUAUCUAAAUCUCAAAAUAUUGCAGAAUAAUAUAAAGAUAAAAUAUCAUUACAAUCCUUCUCCCAGGUUCUCGCGACCUUAACAAUUGCAUAACUUAACUUAGGCCUUUCAAAUACAUAUAUAAUUAAUAAGUCUUAAUACAAUUAAUCAUAAUAAUCACUUAAUAUCUAUUAAUAGCCAAAACUACUUCGUAGCUUUACCCAUCCCUUUGUCCUUCCUCGAACCACUACACUACUUUGCUUUAAUUAUACAUUUUGUGUUUAAGCAAGGGUGAGCAACAAGUUUGCCCCGUAAGUAUAAGCCAACAAGAAAUAACUCUAUUAAGAAUUUCAAUAAGGUCAAAAGUUCAAUCAAUUAACAAUAAUUUACAUGAUAAUUGAGUAACUUCAGAAUAAUGACAACAAAAUAUCAGAGUGCAAAACACUUUAAAUAUUGAGUGGUCAUUAAGGACCAUGAACUUCUACUAGAAGGAUUGACAGUGGGUUACUGCAAGUCCUCCAAAAUAGGCACAUGAGAUGAUCAUUCCCUAGCACCUAUAUUAUGCAUAACAUUCAGUCCUAGCGUGCAAGUCGGUUCCCCGACAUAUAUAAUAUCCCUUACACUUGAGGGUUGUUCAUCUCAACAAAUCACAAGAGUUCUUACCAAAGGAAUUAAUUUGGAUAGCUUUCUCAAAGAAUAAUGGUUCACUAUCAAUCUUACUUACUUACUUUUUGCUCUAGCCGAAUCAAAUGGCUUAGACCUAUUUCUCACAAUAAUCACAUACUUAUCAAUACUGAUGUUUUGAAAGAAUUUCUCAAAGGUGUUCAACCAAAGUUUAAGAAAACCGACAUGUUUAAAUCUAAGAAUGAUUUCCAAUAAUAGAUGCAUAAAUAACAUAUUAAAUAGAAGAACUCUCCUAUGAGAUAUAUAUAUUCAACAACAUCACUUUUUAAGGAAACUAUAAUAACAAAGAAUUUGGUAUGAUAAUUAAUCUUACUUAAGAAUUUGAAUAAUAUAUAUAGUUUGUGUAAUAAACUUGCACAAUAUAUAAAGUUGUGUAUGUUAGGAACUUGUUUGGAUUGCAGCUACAAUUAACUCUACUUUCUUCUCUUUUCAGAUAAUCUACAUUUGCCAUACAUUAUUACAUAUGUUAAUCUCUAGCGCACAUCCACUAAUGACCUCAGCUGACUCUACAAGUAGAAUGCAUGUACAGUAUAGUUCUCAUUAUCACUUUUGUAUGUUUAAUCUAGUUAUUCUUUAUAUGACUAGUGUCGACGUCGAGAUUUUUAUUGUCCCUCAUUUGUUCUUAUUUUUUGGUGUUCUCAUGUUAGGUGAGAUUUGUUUGAAAAAACAAGUUAUGAAAAGGUCCGAUAUUUAUAUGUCGACGAUUUGACUGUAAGAGUCGCCAGUUGGUUUUUAAAUGGUUGUACCAAUACAACCGAGAAAAAGUUUGCACAUUGACCUAGUGAUAUAACACUGCUAAACGAGUCUGUGAAACUGAGAUUCAUUAGGGUCUGGGGACUUGCUUAUGCGGAGGGAAGGUGUUAGGGACCCCCCCGACAUCCGUGUUACCACGGUUACUGCCACUUUUCAAUUAAACUGUUAUAUGAAUGUGUGUGUGUAUGGGUUAAUGUGCAGUUAUUUAGAAGUAGUGCAACGCCUCGUUCGCACCUAUAUACACAGGAUUUGAAUUUAUGUAAAAAUUCAGUUUUAAAUAAGAUAUAGCAAUGAUGUUUUAUAAAAAAAGGUUUUUCAAGCCCUGUACUCAAUAGUAAUUGAGGCCUUUGAUACUUCCAUUUUAUUAAAUAUUCGGCUUGAUUGCUUUUAUUUUUGAGAUUCGAAGCAUCUUCGAGAAAAUAGUACAUAGCAGUGCCGAACUCCUCAUAGGCAUGAAAGCCAUCUAAGGAAAUUCAAACACCGUGAAUAAUUUAUAAGCUGCUUACAGCUGAAAAUGUCCAUCACGUGAACCGAAUCUAGAUUCAGUAAACUGAAUUUGUGAUCACAUGAUUCCUAGGCUCACAUGAUGCCGCAAUUUAUAUAAAAGCAGUAAGUAGUUAUAUAUAUAAAAGUUGUAAAUAUAUAUAUACAGACAUGAUCAACCACCACGAAGCACCUCCAUGAGAGAUCAAAAAUGUAAAUAUAUAAAAGCGAUAUAUAUAUAUAUAUAUAUAUAUAUAUAUAUAUAUAUAUAUAUAUAUAUAUAUAUAUAUAUAUAUAUAUAUAUAUAAGUGGUAAACGCUGAGGAUAUAUAUCGAUCCCGGCUCGGUUUAUCAUUUCAGCGAUUUGUCGCUAUAUAUAUAUAAGCAAUAAACGCUCUAGAUAUAAAAUCCAGGCUCAUCGAACAGAGUUCGACAACAGUUCAUAUAUAUAAGUAUAUAUAUAUAAAAGCAACUAAACGCUUCGGACGUGAGUCCAGGCUCAAUCGAGGCAUAACUCGAUAAUGUUAGUCCAUAUAUAUAUAUAUACAAAAGGAAAUUAAAGCCACGGACCGAAGUCCGGGCAUACACACGCAACACGACUCUCAAUGUGAAGAACGGUGUGUGCAAAGUAGAAGAGAAAGGCUUUAAAGUGUGUAAGAAGGUUUAUAGUGGACUGCCAAAGAAGAAUUCUAUAGCUUUAAAUGGAUGAACACUCGGCUCCCGUCGGUAAAAAUAUGACUGAAUAUAAGCUCACAAGUGUUUAAAAUGAGAAAACACUCAGUUUAGGAUGUGUAUAGAGCAAAUUGGACAGGGCUUCAUCGCUAUUUUCUCUUAAAAUAUGGCCACCCCAAGCCCUCUAUUUAUAGAGGGGGAGUCACAGGUACACCUGCGGCAGCCACAGAUGUACCUGCGGCUGCCCGGGGUGCCCCGAGCUCUGCGGGUCCCACCGUCUCAAAGUACAUAUACGCGUGCAAUGUGAUGUCUGCUCGAACUUGCAGAACUUCAAUCCGAGCCUCCGAUUGAGGUGUAUAGACCUUUUAUGAAGUGCUGUUGUCGAGAUCUACAAAAAUGACAUGGGAUUGGAGGUUGUCAAAAGUCAGGAAGAUAGGACCAUGCCCUUGGUCUUUAAGAUUCAAAUUCCAUCCGGUGUGUUGUCCUGUGUAGUAGUCACUCGUGAUUGCAGCUAUUUGGCUCUUGUGGGACAUUGCUCUGUAGAAUGUAGGUGGAGUUAUUUCUGAGACGGCACAAUAUGGGAUCGAGGAGGCUAAAUGACAAUUUUGCCCCUCACCAGGGUUAUAUCCGGUUUGGGUUGAUAAAGCAGUCGUUGCUCAAGGUUAUCUUUGAGAUUGGGCUGCUGCAAGUACUGGACGUCCUCAUGGUUGUCUCUAAGGUGUGCCUAACCUCUCGGGGUUAUCUCCGGGUUUGGAGCUGAGUGCCUCGGUGUGAGUCCCGAGGUUGAAGUUGACUGCAUAGGUUGAAACGAGCAUUUCCAGGGUUAUCUCCAGAACUACAACUGCACUCCUUGGGGUUAUCUCCAAGGUUGACAUUGUCUUUCCCGGUGUUAUUUCCGGGACUGAGAUUGAGUAUCUCGGGGUUAUCUCUGAGAUGAAAUGGCCUUCUCCGGUGUGAUUUCUGGUAUUGGAACUGCAUGCCUCGGGGUUAUCUCUGAGGUUGGAACUGAAACUUUUGUUGUUAUUUUUGGGAUUAAGUUGAGCUGUCCUCCAGGGUUAUCUCUAAAAGAUGAUUUUGCCCUCAUGCAAUGUUAGUAACAGGUAUGCAGAAAAUUUUGAGUGUCUACAGAUGCCCCUCUUUAUCAUAUUCAUGCAAUGCAAUGGCAUGGAUAUGAUAAAGAAUACUAGACACUUAAAAUGCAACAAGAUGAUCAUGAUGCCAUGUACAACAACAUGAUGAUAAUGUAUGUGGUUUUGUUGGAUUAUUUUCCAACAUGGUGGGAUGAUUUCCGGCUCCCCUUGACUUCUACUGGUGUUGAUAGUUAUUACUGACAACCCUGAUGAACUUUCUUGGACGUGCAAUCCAAUGCUCUCAGGAGCUUCUAGGAUGUUGACGUUGGGGUUAUCACCAAAGUCCUUAAUCCUUGAUACAAACUUCACAUUGAAGAUGCAUCUCUCAUGUACAAGAGAUUCUGUGGGGAUAGAUCUUUAUCUAUUGAGGAUGUGUAUAACAUAUUCCAUCAUCGAUACUCCCCGAUGAGGAUGUUCUUCCUUGGUUUGUACCGCCAGGUCUUUUCGCUGCUCUGUUGGAGUUAUUGCUAACAGUCGGUGUUGUCAGGGUUGCCUGACCUUCAUUGAUAUGUGCAUCAACGGAUGAGAUCCCUACUGAGGAUAAUGUCAAGGUUGCUUGACCUUCGUUGAUGUGUGCAUCAACAGAUAGAUUAUAUGAAAACCCGUUGGGGAAAAGGUUUUAGGCCUGUGACCCUGAAUUGAUGGCAUCGGACCUUCGUGAGGUAUUGCCGAAUGUAGUUUGCAAUGGUUGAGAACAUUGGUAUAGUGGACCCUGUGUUUGGGCGAAUUCCAAUGAGUGAUAUGUAAAGCCACAACUUGACCCGUGAAAACCAGGAUUUCAGGCUAUUCUGCUCAAUUACGUAGCAUUUUUAUUCCUGAUUUGGCCUUUUAAGCUUGUAAGAACUCCUUUGCAACUUGAACUGUACCGAGCCGGAGGGGUGGGCCCCAUUCUCGCUAUAUCUUUUGAUAGGCCUCUAUUAGUAGUUGGGCAUCUAUGCUCCAUUUCCUUGUAUUUUUAGCUGUAAAAAACUAUAUUAGAUGAUGAUGUACUUAGGAAUGUAUAAAUUGUUAUUCCCUACAUCAUAUUGCCAUCUAUUAUUUAUCAUGCAUGUAUUAUGUUAUACAUAUGUAUGCAUGUCUAGAGAUAUUCAGCAUUGACCCCUGGAUGGUCUUAUGACACGGCCCGUACAGAUGUCUUCUUCGACAGUUAGCCGUAUUGAUCAUACCCCACCAGUAUUGGUGGCAUCCCGUCCAAGAUCAUGGUAUGAUAGUAUGUCACCUUCAGAAAGGGUGACUGUAGAUCAGUUAUUGUAGCAUACUAUGACUCUCCCGAUGUUUCAGGUUCCCGCAGGAUUCAUAGAGGGUAUGCUAGAGCAUUGAAUACCAGAGAGGCAGGUCUUCUGGUUUGGUAUCCAUGAGUUGACUCUUACUUUAGAGGAGUAUGCACGGUUAACGGCGUUGCCCUUAGACAGACCUUGCGCGUGGAUGGCUAUCGGUGACAUGAGGCUACAGUUUAUGACCCUCACCGGGCUAAGGCGUAGAGUUGUGCAGGAUGAGAUCACAUCUGGCCACGUUGUAUCCCAACAUUUUCUGAUGGACAGAUUUGGCUCAGAGGAUAGCUAUACACGGCAUUCUGGGGAUUUUACCAUGCCCAAGGAUCAUUGGCAUUUGGCUAGAGUAGUCGUACUGCUAAUGUGUGUAUUGUCAUAUUUAUACAUGCCACGGUACAUGGAUGAGUUGGACAUUGGUGUCAUUAUGGCAGUGAGAGCUCCCAAGGAGGGUCACACCAUUGUACCGAUGAUUAUAGCAGAGAUGCUGAGAUCAGCUACAUAUUGCAGCACCUACCCUGUAGGGGUAUUCACAAGUAGUCAGGGGUAUUCACAACACCUACCCUAUGACACGGGUAUUGUUUUACCCAUGAGAUAGCCAUGUCGUACUCCUUUCAGCCUGCGGAGUGUACAGAUCCUGCAUCUUGGUCCAUUUUCCUGGUAGGGAUUGGAGAUCCAUUUGAUGUAUUGUCGUGUACAGGGCGUUUUUCACCCUAUAGCUUCAUCACUCAUGCUCCGGGCAUGGAUUAUCUCCCUCUAGCUGGUUUGAGGGGCAUGACUACUUACGACCCACUAGCUGUGAUGUGUCAGUUUGACCAGUUCCAAGACUUCCAUCCUUUUGAGGGGGCAUUGAGUAUGCGUUUGGCUUCUCGCCACUUGUCAGCAGAGGACAUAUCCAGAGUGUAUGCCUGUUGGGAUCAGCGUGAGCUAGCUGCAUUUUCUAUUAGCCAUCCAGGUUAUUCUGUAGAAUAUUCCGCAUAGAUGGAGACAAAGACUACAUCGGUUGCGGUAGUAUCCACAUUGUCGGGGAUUAAUUUUGGUGAUGGGGAGCCCAUAGAGGACAUUGAUAUUCCCAUAGAGGAGGAGCUAUUCACUGGGUUGCCAACAGCUCUUACAGAUUCUCCCAGUACGAGUGCCACUGUGAUUCAGCAUUCAACACAGUAUUUAGAGCAGAGUCUUCAUUUGAUGACCUUUGAGAGAGAUCAGGCUAGGGCCGUGAUGUUGACAACUCUUGGUGGGAGAGACACCGCUCUAUCGGAGAGAGAUGAGGAUAGAUCAUCCAGAGAUGCAGUGAUUGUUGAGCUGGAUGCUGCCCCAUCUGCCCGAGAUGCAGCCGUCAUAGAUAGCACUUCAGUAAGAUCCCUUAUGAUUGGCAUACUUGCUGAUAGGAGUGCAUAUAUUGAUGAUCACCAUGCCACCAUACAGUUAGCCUCAGAUCUGCUAGCUCGUGUAGAUACCCUUGGGCAGGAGCUUGCAGCGUUACCUCCUUCUUCAGAGAGAGAUGCUAUAUUAGAUCUAAUAGUCCGCAUACAUACCGAUCUGUAGAUAGACUUGUAUUUUCCUGUACAGACUAGUUUAGCCAUUUUGUCAUGUACAACACAUAUUGUAUAUAUCAAACAACAUUAUAUAUGGCAGGGAAAUAUAUGUUGAUUCAUUUCCCUUUUAGUUGGGCCUUGAUACUUGCUUGAUAUUUACAUGUUUCUUCAGGGCUUGUGAUUUUGAUGUAUUCUGAACUCAUCCUUGAUAAGUGGACAUUGAGAUGUCGCAUGAUCUUUCAAAAUGGAUCAUUAAUCUGUAUGUAUCCCUACCCUCUUUGGUGUUUUGAGACUGGUUUCUGUAUGGAAAUGUGUAGAGGAGUGUGACUUUUUCUCUCUGAGAUUCACCACACCACAGAUGGUCUCCAGUACUCCUAUUUAAGAGGAGCCCAGUUAGUUCCAUCGCUUAUGGAUUGGUGUUGUUCUUCAAGGAAUAAAUCGCAGCUUAGAUGGUCGCUAACUCUCCCAUUUAUGGGGAGGCCAGGUAGUUCCAUCCCUUUGGUCUGAAGCCGAUGAAAGGUGGUGGAUUAAAGUUUGAUCCCAGUACCGUGUGAUAAGUAUUUGUGUUUUGGUAGGGGGUUAGACUGAACCAUAACUGGAUGCCUACGUACUCCUAUUGAAGAGGAGAUCAGGUCUGCGUAGUUCGAACCUGGUGUAAGAGGUUCAACGCUGAAUGGUGUAAGGUGUAGAAAUAUUUUUGUUAUUUUUGUUUUUGUAGAGAAGGGUGUAGAAAUAUUUUUGUUAUUUUUUUUAUUGCGACCGGGCCAUAUAAAAUGGUUGCCUAUGUACUCCCAGGUAUCGGGGAGAUCAGGUCAACGUAGUUCGCCCCAUGUUCAGGAUGAUUUGCAGUCAAAAAAGUUUGAUCCCAUCUUCAGGACAAACUGUGGGGAAAAGUUUGAUCCCAUGUUCAGGACAAACUGCGGGUGCGAAAAAGUUUGAUCCCAUGUUUAUGACAAACUGCAGGGGAAGGAUUCAAUCCCUGGUGGGAUAACCAAAAUUGUAUGGAGUGUGAAAUGAAAGAUCUGAUGAUCUGAAAACCAGGCUGCUGGCUUGAAGAGUGUGUUUCCCUGAUGGGGCAAAUGGGUAUGAAGAAAGGGUUGUGUGUAGUAAGGGUUAGAAAACCUGAAAUGACUGGUGAUCUGGUGAUCUAAAACCAGGAUGUUUGCUUGAUGGUAACUUCAGACAUAGUACCGUUUCACGGUGUCUGAGUUGAUGAGUUGUGGAAAUUUGUCGCCAUCUAUUUCCUAUAAUCUGAGAGAACCUCCUGUCAAUACCUCCUUGACAAUAAAUGGGCCCUCCCAGUUUGGAGUGAAUUUUCCCUUUGCUUGGUCUUGGUUGUCAAUGAUCUUCUUCAAAACCAAGUUAUGUUGUUUAAAUUAUCGUAGCCAAACUUUCUUGUUGUAGGAUCUGGCAAUCCUUUAUUGGUAUAAUUGACCAUGGAAGAUAGCAUCACUUCGCCUUUCAUCUAUUAAAGACAAUUGGUGAUAUCUCUCUUAUAACCAUUGGUCUUCAUCCAGCUGAGCAUCAAUCAACACUUUGAGGGAUUCCAUUUCCACUUCUAUGGGGAGCACUGCUUCCAUCCCAUAGGUCAAUGAGUAGGGGGUUGCCCCAGUGGAAGUUCGCAUUGAAGUUCUGUAGGCUAAUAGAGUCAGAGGCUAUAAUGACCGUGAAUUUUAAACUCCUUAUUAAUUAAAUAUGUGAUUUAAUUUUUAAUGAGUUAGUUUUGUGAGUCUAUUUAAACCUUAUGUGGUUAUGAAUUGAUUAAAGGGAGUCACUAAUAGUUAUUUAAAUUAGUGGACUAACCCUAAGACUUUAAUAUCAAGGAAUUGAUAGGAUUACUAAUAAUUAAAUAUUCAAUUUAUUUGAAUAUGGCGGCAAGAUUUGAACAUAUUGAUUUAUGUCAACUAUGGGUAUAUCACCAUUGUAGAAGUUAAAUUAUCUCAUAUAAGACUUAUAUGGUGAUAGAAAUUUGAACUGGCUUGAAGCUAACCCAUUUUGGCACUGCCAGGGACCGGCGCAGCUGCGCCCUCCCAGCAGUACAAAAUGGCGCAGCUGCGCCAGUGUCCAAACUUAGAAAAGUUAGUUCUGCUAUAAAAAAUGAAUUGGAACAUUGGUGUAAUGUGUGGCAUGCAUAGAAUCAUAUAAUAAAAAUACCUUCUAGUUAUAUGAAGUAUCAAGUAGUGCAAUAAAAUCAUAAGUGAUUUUAAUACAAGAAUAAUUAAAUAUCUGUGUAUUCCAGAAAUUGGAAAAGAAAUUAUGUGUGCACACUAGAUAUAUAAUAUUAAAUAAUGUUAUAAUAUGGCUAUGUGAGUAGUAGAGAUAAUUAUGGAACUACCCGGACAAUAAUACUUAACUGUGUUAUUUUAUUGCGUGUAUUUAAUGUACAUGGGUUAUAUGAUGUGAGUACAUAAAUAAUCCCCAAAUUUCCUUUGUGUAGUAACAUUAACACAUUUAUAUUACAUUAUGGGAAUUAUAGUUUCCAAACCAAGCCUUAAAUAACUUGUUGCUGAGAUUUUCUUUCUUGUCCCAAAAUGAGUGUCACUUUAGUACAUGAACAGUGGACAAAAGCUAGUUUACGUAACUUUCAAAUGGCUAAAACUUAGGCAAUGAUUUCAAGGCCAAUGGCCUGAUGGUGGGUUGUUCAACCACCUUUGAUUAACCAAUGUGUUCUUCCUUUGCACCAUGAGCUCCAACAUUAGGGUAAUGUCAUUAUCUAGUCCAUGCUCAUUCUAUAAGAACAAGCUUCAAAUUCAGUUUUUGGGUUGUUAGAAUUAUUUAAUAAGUCUUAGUUGGAGAGUUCUAAGUUGCUAAGGAAUUUUGGAAGCAUACUCAUUGUGUAAGGAAUCCAAACCAAGCUCAAGAAGGUAUAGAUUUUUACUAUGUUCUUGAAAUGGGUCUAGUUAAUUCUUGAAAAUUACUUGGAAUUCUUUGUUAAUCAAAGUGAAUUAACAUGCCAUGAUAUGUUUGUGAAGUAUGUUUACAUGUUUAAACUCUUAAAUGGUAGGUUGUAGCAUGUUUAAAACUGAAAUGAACCAAGGUGGCUAAGGCUCUGCAGAACAGAGCAGGUCACUGCCUCUGGUGCAGGCAUGGCGCAGUUGCGCCCUAUUUGUACUAGGGUGCAGCGCAGUUGCGCCGUAGCCCAAAAUCAGUUGCUGGUUUCUGUUUAUGAUAUGUGUUACUAACUUGAUGUUAUGACUUAGAUACAUACCUAUAGAGGAGUAUAACAUGAUAUGUAAAGCUUUCGUAUGUGGUAUGAAGUAAUCAACUUGGAUUAGUAAGGAAGUUGUAGUAAAACUUAAAGUUUUCAAAACUAACUUUUUGGAAAACUUGUAUUCACGAGUUCUGAACUUAUGAGACCACCUACAUGACUGAUGUGGAACCUAAAUGAGCAUGAUAUGUGAUUCAUAGAUGUUGUAUCCAUGACUAACUUGAUAAGCCUUGUGCUAGAACUUAGUUUGAAAAGAAAAGCUUAGAACAAUAAGGCAAAUGAACACAAAUGCUAAGAAAUAUAGAUUUUGAUAUUGAAAGGAGGAUGGCAUAACUUAACUCCUUAUGAUAAGAGUCUUUGAAGUCGUCUUAUAUGUGCUAACUUGCAUCAUUCAUGAAUAAAGGGAUUUCAUAGGAAACCUUGAUUGUAUUUUUAAAAAUCUAGGUGCAUCGUGAAUAUCUAGAUUCGAAAGGGUUAUAAUGUCAUGUUGUAUCUAUUAUAUACCUAAACAUGAUUCAUAUGUAUUGAGCAUGAUGAUUACAUGACAUUUUAUGUUUUAAUGACAUAUAAAUUGUAAGUUAAACUUGAAGUAAUGAGUUCAAGUAUGGUCUUAUGUUAUAUAUGAAACUCUAGCAUGUAUGUAUGUUAAUAUGUAUGUAUAGGUUUAUGUUAGAGUUGGACUGAAGUCAGGAAGUACAGAAGCUCAACCUUGGUCUGGCCAAGGGACAGCGCAGCUGCACCGUCCCUAAGCCUAGACCAGGCGCAACUGCGUCAUCCUGCAGUCACAAAUAGAUUCUAAAAUUCAAGGCAUGCUUAUAUGGUUACUUUAUCUUGUAAUAUGUGACCAAUGUGCCAUGUAAUGUGUUAAGAAGCAUGCUAUGUGAAGACUUGAUUAUUGUAAGUGUAAACACAUAUUAGUUUACACAUACUAAUUGAAAGACCAACUUGUUAAUGUUAGGUUGUUUCAACGCGAGUUAGUUAAAGCUAGUAUUAUAUUGUAGCUGAGCAAACAUGCAAGUUCCCUAAACUUACUCCAAUUAUUAUUGAGCAAGUUUCUUUGAACUUCACUCUUUGAUUGUGCAAGUUCCUUGAACCCUACUUUAUUUGUGCAAGUUUCCCUAAACUUACUCUAAUUUAUAUUGAGCAAAUUUUCUGUGAACUUCACUCUUUGAUUGUGCAAGUUCCUUGAAUCCUACUUUUAUUGAGCAAGUUCCUUAAUUCUUACUCAAAUGUAUAUUGAGCAAGUAUCCAAACACUAUUUUAUUGUGUUGCAAGUUUCCUAACUUACACAACUUUGUUUGUUGUGAAAGUUUUCUAUCCUUCUCAUAUUAUAUUGAGUAGGAUAUUGUUGAAUUGAAAGUUAUUCAUUUAAGCUUGAAUCUUAUUUCCAAGCAUGCUAUUAAGUGGUUUAAUUACUUUACAAUUAUUCCACAUCGAUAUUCGCACUUAGUGCACUUGAGUUCGUACAGUCUUGGACUUGUACAUCAUUUAAAGUUCAAUAAUUCUUGAACUGUGUUUGAUAGAGUCUGAACCUUUGUUCUGUCAGACAAGCGUAUGAAGUUUUAUAAAAGCUAUCCAAACCAAUUGAUGGUAAGGAUUCUUAGACUGAAAGAACACCCCUUCUAUGAUAGAGGAGUACCCCAGUAUCUAAUAUAAGAUACAAAAAGCAGAUUUAAAUGUUAUGCAUAUACAUAGUGUACGUGAAGCUGAUCCCCUCAAGUACUUAUUCUGCAGCCAGUAACCAAAGGAUCAAUUAGCUAUUGAUUCAAUUGGAGUGUUAUAGUUCAAAGUCUACUUGACUAGCAGUUACUCUAAAAGCAAUCAUUAUCUUUGCUUAUAAUAUUCAUAUUGUUGAAUCCUUCAUAUAUUCAUAUUGUUGAAUCCAUUGCCAGAUAUUUUUCCAUUCAUCAUGAUAUAUCCUUAUUGUUGUAUUUAAACUUGUUGAGCAAACUUGUUGCUCAUCCUUGCUAUAUCAUAAAUUAUAUUGCAGCUAAGCCCGAGACCUCAGGGAAGGACAACGGUAAAGGAAAGAUGUAGAGUAGUGGCAAGGAGUAGACCUUACCUUAUGCCUAGUGUAAAUUACUAUCGUGUAAUAUGAAUUCUAAUAUUUAUUUUAGGGUAUGUUUGUAAGAUAAUAUUAAGGUUAUCGUAUCUUGGGACUAGUAACACCUUUUGAAUGAACGACGUACGUUUAUUAUAUUCCGCAUUUUAGUUAUCAUAUGUUGUUUAGGGGUGGAUAUUUGUAUUUUAUCGUGAUGACCGAACCGGGGUCAGAGAACUCGGAUUCGGGGGCGUCACAGAGGCAAGAGGUCAGGCCAUCCUUUUUGAUUGGCGGACAUCUUCUGUAUGGUCUUCUUGAUGCUCUUAUUAGCCGCUUUAACAACACCAUUCAUCUUUGGGCUGUAGAUGACGGAGUUAAGGUGUUUGAUGUGGAAUUUACUGCACAACUCCUCCAUCAUUUUUUUGUUGAGAUUCUUAGCAUUGUCUGACACAAUUAUCUCUGGUUGUCCAUAUCAACAAAUGACAUUGUUUCUGAUGAAAGCAAUGAUGACUUCUUUGGUAACCCUGAGGAAGGAGGCUGCUUCUACCCAUUUGGUGAAGUAGUCGAUCAUGGUAAAGAUAAACCGAUUCCCAUUACUGGCUUUGGGCUCGAUGGGCCCGAUCACAUCCAUUCCCCACAUUGAGAAGGGCCAAGGUGAACUCAUAUUGUGGAGUUCCCUCAGAGGGGCAUGGAUAGCAUUCCCAUGAAUUUGGCAUUGAUAGCACCUCUUGACGUGAUCAUCACAGUCAGCUUUAAGCGAGAGCUAGUAGUGCCAUAUUCUGAGGAUCUUUUUAACAAGUAGGGGGUCGCUCAUGUGUGGGCCACAUACUCCACCAUGGAUUUCAUCCAUGAGCCUCUGAGCUUGGUCAUUGUCCAGACAUCUGAAGAGACCUAUUCAUGCAUCUCUUUUGUAGAGUGCAUCUCCACUCAGGUAGGACUUCAUAGCCAGUCGAUGGAUCUGCCUUCUUUCAGUCGGGCUUGCCUCAGCGGGUGUAGAUCCAUCUCGUAAGUACUCUUUGAUGUGCUGAUACCAAGGGUGUUGGAUGGGAGGUAGCUCAUCCGAUACUUCUCCAACAUAAUUCCCAUAGGCGGGAGCCUUUUGUAGGGCAAAUGGGAUGCUUGGCAUGUUUUCCUUGUCAUGUAUGGUGAUUAAGGAAGCCAAAGUUUCUAGCGCAUCCACAAAAUCAUUCCUAUUUCGAGGAAUAUGGAGGAAGUUUAUUUCUUCAAACUCCGAAGCCAUCUGUAAAACUUGCCGAUGGUAAGGCAUCAAAUGUAGGUCUUUGGUGUAAUAGAUUCCUGUGGUCUAUCUGAUUACCAAUUCUGAAUCCCCAAAGACAGUUUACCGCUUGAUACCCAUUGAUUGGGAAAGUUUGAGUCCCAUGAUACAACCUUUAUACUCAGCUGUGUUAUUAGUGCUGACAAACUGCAAUUUGAUGGCAACGGGAUACUGCUCCCCCGUACCGGAUACUAGAACUGCUCUAGCUCCAGAACGUUCCAUGUUAACAGCUCCAUCAAAAUACAUUUUCCACGUACAACAUGCAUUGUACUGAUGGUGUUGCUGGACUGUUAUUACCCCUUCAUUGGGGAAGUAUGUUUCCAAGGGUUUGAAAUCCCCUACAGGUGCAGUGGCCAGUUGAUCCACAAUUCAUUGUCCUUUAAUGGACUUUUGCGUCACAUAGACGAUGACAAAUUCUUGUAGGAUCAACUGCCAUCUGGACAUCGACAAUUCAAUAUGGGUUUACUAAACACGUACUCGAGAGGAUCCACGCGGGAUAUAAGAUGGGUUGUAUGACCAUGGAGGUAAUGUUGUAACCUCAUGAAAGCCCAUGCUAAAGCACAACAAGUCUUCUCAAUUAGAGUGUACUUAUGUUCAGUGCUGUUGAAUCUUUUACUGAGGUAGUAGAUUGCUCGUUCUUGGCCUCUAUCAUCUUUUUGUCCCAGCAUGCAGCCCAUGACAUUGUCAUUAAUGGACAGGUACAUGAACAGGGGAACAUCAUCCCUGGUUUGUACCAAGAUAGGAGCAUUAAUCAGCUGCUCUUUGAUUGUAAGUAAGGCUUUUUGACACUCAUCGUUCCAUUUCAUGGAGGAAUUCUUCCUUAACAAUUUGAAGAUAGGCUCACAGGUUGCUGUGAGUUGAGAAAUGAAUCUGCUAAUGAAGUUGAUUCUUCCCAAAAAUCUCCGUAUUUCCUUCUCUGUUUGAGGAAUGGGCAUUUCCUUGAUGGCCUAGAUUUUGGUGGGAUCCAGCUCAAUCCCUUUGUGGCUGACUAGGAAACCUAGUAACUUACCCGAUUUAACACCAAAGGCGCACUUGGUUGGAUUCAACUUCAAGUUGUACUUAUGCAACCUGUUGAAAAGCUUUCUAAGAUGGUCUAAAUGGUCUUCUUCCCUUCGGGAUUUGACAAUGAUGUCAUCCAUGUAGAUCUCUAUCUCUUUGUGCAUUAAAUCGUGAAAAAGAGCCAUCAUAGCUCGCUGAUAGGUUGCUCCAGCAUUAAUGAGGACGAAUGACAACCGUCUAUAGCAAAAGGUUCCCCAAGGCGUGAUGAAUGCAAUUUUCUCACGAUCUUCCUCAGCAACCAUGAUUUGAUGAUACCCCGCAAAGCAAUCAGCAAAGGAGUACAUGUUAUAUUGAGCAGUAUUAUCAAUGAGAAUGUGGAUAAAUGGAACGUGAAAGCUAUCCUUAAGGCAAGCUUUAUUCAGAUCCCGGUAAUCCACACAAUCUCGCACCUUUCCUCCCAGUUUAGGCACGAGGACUAUGUUAGAUUGCCAUUCAGGGUAUGUUGACACCAUGAUGAUGCCUGCUUGAAAUUGUUUCAUAAUUUAUUCUUUAACCUUUAAACUCCACUCAGGUUUAAAUCGCUUGAGCUUCUGUCUGACUGGCUUGAAUCCCUCUUAAAUGGGAAGGCGAUGGAUGACGAUGUCCAUGGAGAAACCCACCAUGUCUUCGUGAGACCAUGCAAACACAUCUUGGAAUUGGGUUAAUUGCGCAACCAUGUCAUUCCUUUGGUUUGGAGUGAGGUCUGUACCAAUCUGGAUCAACCUAGGGCUUUCUAAGGUUUCGAGAUUGAAUGAGGUGGUUUGAUCAAGAUUUGGUUUGGGUUUGUCUUCAACCCAUUCCUUGAUCUCGUGAGGUAUCUCAAUGUCCUCUUAUAUUUCCAUCAAGUCUGAGUCCAACUUUUCAUCAAAGUUACAGUCCUUGUGGAGAAAAGGCGCCUCAUCAGCAAGUACACACACAUCUAAAUUCAGAGUCCUGAAACAAAAUAUGCUUUCACUUAAUAUAUGAAACUAUUCAAUCAUACAAAAGUGUUAGCAUGUACUAAUAAAACAACUGCUAAUACUGUACAGAAAAAUAAGCAGUUAAAGCUAUCUACAGGGCAGAGGGAUUCUGCCCUUUUUACCCUUGGCGACAAAUGCAAGGAGUGCUGCUCCAAUUGUCAAGGGUGAAGUCCUGGUGGACAGCAAUAAUGAAGUGACGAUCAUCGUCCUCCUUUUCCCGAAUGAUGACCAUAAUGUCAGGAUAAUCAUCAUCUGGAGUGUAUCUAUUUGUGUGCUCAUCAUGAAAAAGGAUGCGUAGAUGAGACAAUCUCCUUGCGAUGUCUUGUUUACGUUUCCAUUCCUCUUCUUCCACUUUGGGAUCAGGAAUCAGGACCUCUUUUGCUUUAACCGAUAUCGGUUUGGGAAAUAGCAUAGCCAUAACGUGGGCUGGAACCUUUAUUGGAGACUGUACAGGCUCAGGAUCGGUAGGUGGAGAUAAUCGCCUUAUGGCUGAAGAUGAAGGAAUCUGCUUAUGCUUGUGAGGAUUCCUAUGACUGGACCUAGCAGAAUAGCCUAAUCUAGUUAUCCCUGUUUGACUGAGAAUUUGAAUUGGGUGCUUAAUACCCUGAUGAUCUUUGCCUAACCCUUGUCCAGGUUGAUGACCCAAUGAAAUCAUCUCGUGAGUGGCCGACAUUACCUCAGCAGAAAUCUUGGGUGUGAGAGGUGAAGCCCCAAUGGGAUGGUAAUGAGUGUUGCUUACCUCCAGGGCAUGGAAACUGACCGGCCCAACUUCUGAAUUGAAGCUGAUGAGUGGCAUGUCACCUUGUUCAGGACAUUUUGGCUCAGCAUUAACAGUGACUAGGCUAUUAUUGAUAAUGUACUUGAGUUGCUGAUGAAGAGUGGAAGGGACGGCUCCAGCCAUAUGAAUCCACGGUCUUCCCAACAGCAGAUUGUAUCCCGUAGCUAUUCUGAGCACGUGAAAGGAUACACUAAAUGUAUGUGGACCAAUCUCCAAUGAUAAUUCAAUCUCUCCAACGACGUUUCGUUGGGACCCAUCAAAAGCUUUGAUAACCGUAUGGUUGCUUUUGAUUCUCUUGGGGUUGAUAUUCAUCUUCUCCAAGAUAGCGUAAGGACAUAUAUUUAGAGAUGAACGUCCAUCUAUCAAGACUCCUCCCACCAUAUAUCCGGAGGAUAAAACCGCUAUAUACAACGGCUUGCAAUGACCAGUCCCUUCAGCGGGUAUAUCGUCAUCAGUGAAAGAUAUCACAUUGUUGUUAAAAAUGUGAUCAACCAGAUAUUGGAAUUUUUACACAUCCACUGAUUUAGGCAAAUGGGCUUCUUCCAAUACCCUUAGUAAGAUCUUCCUGUGAUCUUCGGAAGAGAAAACCAAGUCCAGUAUGGAAAUUUGUUGUGGAGCUUCUCUCAAGCUUCAAACCACCUUGGCUUUGUUAUGGCCCAUGGUACAAAGGAACUCUUCAAUUUUCUCUAUGGGAACUUUCCCAUUUGAUUUGAUGGUAGGCUUCAUCACCCGAUGGGGAAGAUACCGUGGAUUAUCCUUCGCCACUGCAACAGUUGUAUGUGAGGUAGAUCCUUCAACCUGUCCAUAAUUCCAUGGGACUUUUUUCAAGCUGACAACAGGAUACUGUGGCCUAGAUGGCAAGAGAAUUGGCUCUGGUGCAGCCACUUUCAAAGGAUUGUCAGUACCUUUGAGUUGAAUUGCUUGUAUUGUGAGUGGUCUGGCAGCCAAAUCAUCCUCAACGAAUAUAACUGGUACGCAGUCCUUCCAUUUUAUAGGACAUGUGUUCCCACUCUCGAGUAAUAAAGUGUCGUCAUCUGCCAUUUGCAGGACACCACUGUCAAUUAAGUUCUGAAUGAGGUGGCGAAGUGCCCAACAUUCUUCUGUGCUGUGACCGCGAGAGUGGGAGUGAUACUGGCAUACUCCAUUGGAAUUGAACCAUCUGGAACGGGGAUUUAUUGGAGGUAGAAGGGAUGUAAUUCUUCCUUCAUUGAUCAGCAUUUGAAAUAUCUCUUCUAUAGGUUGGCUAAGGUAUGUAAAUUCCCUUUUAUUGGCAAAAUCCCGACGGGCUUUGGCACUUGCUCUUUUUGCAACUUUAUCCUCUAUUGCUUCACUUUCUUAAGGCGAUGAUGGAGUAUUCAUAACAAAAGGAAGGAGACUAGCAUGCUCCUGACUGACUAAUUAGCGUGUGACUUAGUGUUGAUGGAUCACCAGUUCUGCCAAUUGGUCUACUUACUUGCGAAGAGCCUUAAUCUUUCGUUCCAUCAUAAACUGGAAUUGUACGUAAUCCCAUUUGUUAGCACCGUCCUUGCUGGUUUGGGAAGAUUCAACAACAUAAUUAGAACUUUGUGCACUGCUCCAACUAAUCAUAUUAACCUCUUCAUCUUUGUGUUGAGGAAGAGGGUUGUCUUGUACAUGAGGUUGGUCGGGUUUAGUCACCACAAUCUCCCCAUUGUCGAUUAAAUCUUGGAUCUUGUGUUUCAAGGCCCAACAAUCCUGAGUGUCAUGUCCUGGUGGUGGAAGAAGAUGUGUAAUUUUCUUCUGAGUAGUCAGAAGAUUGAGAACAUUCUCGAGCGAAUCCUCUAGGGGUGUGAACACUCGAUUGCGUCGGACUUCUCCACCCUUUUGUAAUGUGGGGUUGGAAGACUAUGCUGGAAAAGGGGAGUAAUUUCUCCUCUGGAUAGGCAUAUUUUGACUGCCUUUCUGACCAUAUAGUAUCAAGGAAACAUCCUCCUAUUUCUUUUUAUGGACCCUCCGGGGGUUGUUUCCAUAAGUUCUGGACUGGAUGUGCUCGGCAACAACUUUCAGAGCGGCUAGGUCUUGAAUUUUUCUUGACUUCAAUCCCAUCUCAGCCAUCUCUCCAUGUUUAAUCAUUUCAGAGAAUGGUUUACCAAUUCCAUCUAAGACUCUUUCAUAGAAAGGAGCUUCUUGUGUGUCUAUGAAAGUCAUCACAAUUUUUGACUCUGUCAUAGUAGGAAUAACUUGAGCAGUAAGGCGCCUCCAUCUUUAAGCAUACUCUCUAAAUAACUCAUUAGACUGUUUCUUGACCUUGGUAAUUUGAUACCGGUCAGGAGCCAUCUGAGACUGGAAAUUGUACUGAGUGAGGAAGGCAUGGGCUAACUCUUCCCAGCCAAGUAUUUUAGAAUUGUCUAAUCUGGUGUACCACGAUCGGGCUUCUCCAGUUAGACUCUUUUGAAACAGCUGCAUUCUGAGCUUUUCAUCCUCGACAUAAGAUCCGAGUUCUUCUAUGAAUAUCUUCAAAUGUGUGUAAGGAUCUCCCAACCCAUCAUACUUUUCAAAGUUAGGUGUCUUGAACUUCUCUGGAUAAUAAACACUAGGGAAUAUACAAAGAUCAGCAUAGGAGACACUCCCGUGUGCUCCAAUCCCUUUUAUAGACUGAAUGGUCUCUUCCAUCUAAAGGACUUUCUUCCUGAUAUCACCGAUGUCUGGAUCUUCUUUAAGAUGGGUGUUUUCACGAAUUUUGUUGGUUGUAUCCAACUGAAGUUCCAGAAUUGUUUUAUCCGAACCUUGUGCUCCUCCUUGUGUAGGGGAUUUUGUGUGUACGGGUAUGCGCGAACCCUGAGUAGACUGGUGUAGUUCUUUAAGAAGAACAACCAAAUCUGUAAUUUGUUUGCUUAAUCCAUCAAACUCUUCUCGAGAGACAGGAGCAGGAUUAGAUUGGUCAGAUGAAGACAUGAUUGGCUGUAGGCUCGUGGCCUUUUUGGACUUUGAACGGGUAACAGGCCCAAUUAUUUCCCUACAAAAACUUAUGUAGUUUAGUCUUAGGGAAUGUAUAAAUGUUUACAUGCUAUCAUAAUAUGUCCAUUUUAGGAAUAUUAUCCUGCAAAACGGGUGUCAUUUAAUAGAAUGUCAAGCCUUAAUAUGCAUGUACACAUAUUCUUCAUAUUUUCCAUUACAUAGAGAUUAACAUGGAAUAAAAUUACAAGUAAUUGUCUUUACAGGUAAUUGAAAAUGGAAAGCAUGAAGAGACUUUCCUCCGCGUUUGGUUUAUCAGAGGCUGACCUAUCUUAGGUUACUCUCGCGAAUUUUUGGCAUGAAGGUUCCCAAAUCAUCGCAAUUUACUUGACGAGAAGUUAAUCCGGUCUUUCAACUGGAGCGAAUCUGGGUGGUGCCUUUCCUGAGCCUCGUUGGAAUUAGUCUCCCUACGAGUCCAGUAAUCAAACACCGACAGGAUAGCCUCCUGGUGGAGGAACCACACAAUAUACAUUCACAUGCAACGUGUCUCACCGUUAUGGGAAUGAUGACAUGUGCGAAGCACUAAUAUCACAGAUAGAUAUAUUGCAGUGCAGUAAGUAAAAUGCAUUCGUACACAUUCAUCAAAAAUAUAAAUGCAUCAUCCACACACAAAUAUAUAACAGUUUUGAAAAGCUUGUAGUAGUGGCGUAACUCCUCUUACUGGUGUCCCCAGCAGAGUCGCCACCUGUCGACGUCGGGAUUUUUAUUGUCCCUCUUCUGUUCUUGUUUUUUGGUGUUCUCAUGUUAGGUGAGAUUUAUUUGAAAUUUUUUUUUGUGAAAAGGUCCGACAUUUAUAUGUCGACGAUUUGACUGUAAGAGUCUCCAGUUGAUUUUUUAAAUGGUUGUACCAACACAACCGAGAAAAGGUUUUCACAUUGACCCAGUGAUAUGACACUGCUAAACGAGUCUGUUAAACCGAGAUUCAUUAUGGUCCGGGGACUUUCUUAUACAGAGGGAAGGUGUUAGGCACCCCCCGACAUUCGUGUUACCACGGUUACCGCCACUUUUCAAUUAAACUGUUAUAUGAAUGUGUGUGUGUAUGGGUCAAUGUGGAAUUAUUUGGAAGUAGUGCUACGCCUCGUUCGCACCUAUAUACACAGGAUUUGAAUUUAUGUAAAAAUUUAGUUUUAAACAAGAUAUAGCAAUGAUGUUUUAUAAAAAAAGGUUUUUUAAACCCUGUGCUUAAUAGUAAUUGAGGCCUUUGAUACUUCCAUUUUAUUAAAUGUUCGGCUUGAUUGCUUUUAUUUUUGAGAUGCGAAGCAUCUUCGAGAAAAUAGUACAUAGCAGUGCCGAACUCCUCAUGGGCAUGAAAUCCAUCUAAGGAAAUUCAAACACCGUGAAUAAUUUACAAGCUGCUUACAGCUGAAAAUGUCCAUCACGGGAACUGAAUCUAGAUUCAGUAAACUGAAUUUGUGAUCACAUGAUUCCUAGGCUCACAUGAUGCUGCAAUUUAUAUAAAAGCAGUAAGUAGUUAUAUAUAUAAAAGCUCUAAAUAUAUAUAUAUACAGACAUGAUCAACCACCACGAAGCACCUCCAUGGGAGAUCAAAAAUGUAAAUAUAUAAAAGCGGUAAAUAUAUAUAUAUAUAUAUAUAUAUAUAUAUAUAUAUAUAUAUAUAUAUAAACAUUAUCAACCACCACGAAGCACCUCCAUGGGGGAUCAGAAAUGUAAAUAAAGUAAUAAAUAUGAUCAAUCGCCACGAAGUAAACUUCAGAUGAGACAAAAUGUAAAUAAAGCAGUAAAAAAUGAUCAACCGCCACGAAGUAAACUCCAGGCGGGGCUAAAUAUAAAUAAAGUAGUAAAAGGCCAAGAAGUAAACUCUAGGUCUGACAGAAAUGUAUAUAUAUAUAUAUAUAUAUAUAUAUAUAUAUAUAUAUAUAUAUAUAUAUAUAAGCGGUAAACGCACAGGAUAUAUAUGGAUCCCAGCUCAGUUUAUCAUUUCAGCGAUUUGUCGCUAUAUAUAUAUAUAAAAGCAGUAAACGCACCAGAUGUAAAAUCCAGGCUCAUCGAUCAGAGUUCGACAACAGUUCAUAUAUAUAAAAGCAAAUAAACGCUUCAGACGUGAGUCCAGGCUCAAUCGAGGCAUAACUCGAUAAUUUUAGUCCAUAUAUAUAUAUACAUAUACAUAAGGAAAUAAAAGCCACGGACCAAAGUUCGGGCAUACACACGCAACACGACUCUUAAUGUGAAGAACGAUGUGUGCAAAGUAGAAUAGAAAGGCUUUAAAGUGUGUAAGAAGGCUUACAGUGGACUGCCAAAGAAGACUUCUAUAGCUUUAAACGGAUGAGCACUCGGCUCUCGCCAAUAAAAAUAUGAUCGAAUAUAAGCUCACAAGUGUUUAAAAUGAGAAAGCACUCAGUUUAGGGUGUGUACAGAGCAAAUUAGACAAGGCUUCUUCGCCAUUUUCUCUUGACAUAUGGCCACCCCAAGCCCUUUAUUUAUAGAGGGGGGAGCCGCAGGUACACUUGCGGCAGCCGCAGAUGUACCUGCGGCUGCCCGGGGUGCCCCAGGCUCCGCAGGUCCUGCCAUCUUAAAGUACGUGCACGCGUGCAACGUGAUGUCCGCUCGAACUUGCAGAACUUCAAUCCGAGCCUCUGAUUGAGGUGUAUAAGACCGUUUACGGAGUGCUGUUGUCGAGAGCUACACAAAUGACAUGGGAUUGGAGGUUGUCAUAAGUCAGGAAGAUGGGACUAUGCCCUUGGUCUUCAAGCUUCAAAUUCCAUCCGGUGUGCUAUCCUGUGUAGUAGUCACUCGGGAUUGUAGCUAUUUGGCUCUUGUGGGACAUUGCUGUGUAGAAUGUAGGUUGAGUUGUUGUUGAGACGGCACAAUGUGGGAUCGAGGUGGCAAAACGAUGAUUUUUCCCCUCAUUGGGGUUAUCUCCGGUUUGGGCUGAUAAAGCAGUCGUUGCUCAAGGUUGUCUCUGAGAUUGCACUGCUGCAAGUACUGGACGUCCUCAUGGUUGUCUCUGAGGUGUGCCUGACCUCUCAGGGUUAUCUCCGAAUUUGGAGCUGAGUCCCUCGGUGUGAGUCCCGAGGUUGAAGUUGACUGUAUAGGUUGAAAUGAGUAUCUCUGGAGUUAUCUCCGGAACUGCAACUUCACUCCUUGGGGUUAUCUCUAAGGUUGACAUUGUCUUUCCCGGUAUUGUUUCUAGGACUGAGACUGAGUAUCUCGGGGUUAUCUUCGAGAUGAAACGACCUUCUCCGGUGUGAUUUCCGGUAUUGAAACUGCAUUCCUCGAGGUUAUCUCCGAAGUUGGAACUGAAACUUCCAGUGUUAUUUUCGGGAUUGAGUUGAGCUGUCUUCUAGGGUUAUCUCUGAAAGACGAUUCUGCCCUCCUGCAAUGUUAGUAACAGGUAUGCAGAAAAUUUUGAGUGUCUACAACUAGUCUGUUCUACUCUUCUGUACCAAUAAAUAAUCAAUCACUUUGUUUCUCAUUAUCCAUUCUUAGUUCAUCUUGGCCUUUAAGAGCGUUUAGAUGUAUUUUUAAUAGUUAAGCAUCUGUUUUAGGAGUGUAUAUGAGGUAUAGAGCAGUACUUAACCUUCCAGGUAGUCUGCAUAAUCAUUCUACAUUUUAUCAAAAGAAUCUACAAUCUAUGAGUACCACUUUAUGAUCGUGGGGUUAAUGAAGCUCUACGAUUGUACAGUCUUGGCACCCUACGAUUUAAUGCUAUGACCCUAAAGUCUGUCAAGGUCACUUUACUAUCCACUAAAAUGACUCAAGGAUCAUAUAAAGACACUUUAUGAACAUAUGGAAGUGUUCUAUAGUCUGUAGAUUUAUUCUACGAUUUGGUGUAAAUGUUCUACGAUCAGUAGAAUCCACUCUACAAUCAUGUCCGUGCCUUAUGACUUGACUUUACGACUCGACAAAAGUCACUCUACGAUUUGCAAAAAGUCACUCUACGACUCGACAACAUUCACUCUACUACGAUUUACAGAGGUUACUCUUCUACUUACAUAUAAGUGUUUUAUGGUCUGAGUAAUCAUUUUAUUAUUUAGGUCUGACUCUACGACCAUGUAUUUCACUCUACGAUUCAUUAACUGGCUGACCUGUUCUCUCGAUGAUCAGCUUAAUCACUCUACGAUUUCAUCGACUAGAUGACUAGUUCACUUUACGACUGGUUUCGUUACUCUAUGAUUUACUUAGUCACUGACACUACGACUAGCUCAGUCACUCUAUGACUGGGUUCACUUUACGAUUUGAACUUAUAAUUUCAUUUUAAUAGACAUUCUUGACUUAUCAUUCAGAGGUGAUAUUCUAUGGGUUGAAUUGGAUUUUGAACAUGACAUUGAGUCUAAUAUAGACCAACCCUUGGACUUGUCACUCUACGACUGACCCUGACACUUGUUUCUUUACUUAGGGAUAAAAAUUUAAAGGUGUUGAGACUUAGUACAGAUACCUAGUCAGACAAAUACCUUUCUAGUGUUUACUAGGCCUUGUCAUAGCUUAUGCAUUUCUGAAUGCAAAACAUGAGUUUACUUACUUGGUUAGGUCACUGAUGAUCAUUCCAGAUUUGACAGAUGGUUCAGCUGACAGUAUACCAUGACAAUGCUAUCAUUUUUGUUUAAUAUGGAUUUGUCCAUAGGACCAACAGUUGAUACUUAUAAGACACAUGAUGAUGAACAUAUAUACAUUGGUUCAUGUAAGGCCUCUGUUUUGUUUUAAGAUCCUUUUUAUGAGGUGUCUCAUGUAAUUCUCUUUUAUUUCACUUUAAGUGGUUUACACAUUUUAGCAAGCAUGAUCAUGUAUUCUUCAUUAUCAGUCACCUUAUGACUCCGGAAUCCACCAUGAUUCCCACACAUAAUUCCUCACACAACCAGCAGGUAUUCUUAUAUAAUAACUAACUCAUGCUAGAUGAAAUUAAAGAUUAAGGUUAAAGGAUUCGUGUACCAUCUUGAAGCUUUUUCCUCUUAGUGAUAUAUUUGUCAAUGAUCGAACUGCAAGAGUUCCUGCUAACUCUUCCUCUUGAUCUUUGAAACUCUCUCUCUCUCUCUCUUUUUCUAUUAUAAACUCAAAAGAUGAUGAGCAAUGCUCUGAACUAAAUUGAAAGCCCUUAUGUAUAGGAAAUCUUCUAUACACAUAUUAUCCACAUAUGUGCACUACUACCAGUAUUUAGUCCAGCAGAAACUGACUUUGCCCAACGGUUAAGAAUGGUUUGGUAAAAAGGCUAGUUACCAACUCAUCAUAGACCAUACUUUUAGUGUAGUUAUGUUCAGUGGCGGAACCAGAACAAAAUUUUAGGGGGGUCAAAAUUUGAGGGCAGUUACCGGAGGUCCACAACAGCGACGUGUAGGUUGUAGCGGCGAGGGAGCGGAGUUAAGGUCAUUGGUUUUGAUUUUGACCCAGAUUGAAAAAAAAUGGAAAGUAUAUUAGCGGCCCAAUGCAUACCGACCAGAGAAUCGCGGCCCAAUGCAUAAGGAGUCAAGAUCACUAUUUGCUUCAGAAUCACUCUCAAUUUCUUCACCAUCAAUGACAACACAUUUAAAGUUAAAUUGCAAAACAACACAUUUAAAGUUAAAUUGCAAAACAACACAUUUAACUGCUGGCUGAGAGCUCAAAUCCCAGCCCAGCCGCUGUGAUUGCUGCUGUCAAAGACAACAGUUCUGCACCCACAUAACCACUUUCUCACUUUAAUACUUCUAAUCCAUAUGAUGGUUUACCUCCAUUUUUUUACAUAUAGCAUAUAGUAUAUGAGAGUAUGUCUAGAAUUUAUAAAACCUCCACUUCAAGCUUACUAGGUUGCCCAACACAACACUCAAAGUUGCUUUGACAUACCACUUUUUAAUUUUUCUAUUUCUAUUUGCAGCUAACUGCUGCUGCCAGUGGGCAGCAACCCUCAACUCUUAACACUUGGUUUGCUAGCUUCUAAUUCCCCAUAUCUUUAAUCUAUUUACGCUAAAUUUUGGGUCAUUAGAUAGGUGAUACAACUCACUCAUAAUAGAGCAUAUUAGCUGAGCAUCUUAAGCAACAUAGCUACGCUGACCGAAAGUCUAAGGGGAGCCCCCCAGCCAUCGCCCAACUUAGUUGCUGCUGCUGCCGGGGGCAGCAACCCUGCUCGUUAUUUCACCACUUUACGACCUUAUAACUGUUAGCUCAUAUGUCAAAUUAUAACAACCUUUAAAUAUGAUUUACAUAUCAUAUGAGAUUGCAUUUAAAAGUUAUAACCUUUCCAAUUCAACUUCAAUAGGCUGCUCAUAACAGUGCGUAAAAAUAACUUCACACACUGAAUUUUAACUUUUGAUUUUGCUUAAAAAUUGAUAUUUGUUUCAAUCUAAUAUACCCAAACUCUUUAAUUAUCAUUUCAUAUGACAUACAAUCUGAUACAAGCCUUGAUUCCAUCUAAUAUUCGGUUUUUAAUUUAGCCAAAAUAGUCCACUUGGGAUUUUUAUCGAAUAACUUGUGCGCAAUGUUCUAAGCUACCAAUUUCAUGGCUAUUUGUUUGAAUUUCAAACCCAUUUAGUCUCUCUUAUGCCUCCGCACAGCCAACUUAUCUCCUCUAAUCUUGUUCCAGCCAUAACAAUUCAUUGAUCAGCUAUAAAUAUGCAUAAUCAAUAUAUAAAUCAACUUCAAAUAUAUUCAAGUAUUUAACAACUAACUAGUUUCCUUAUUCUUAAAAAUUGAAUUUUUUUAAUUUUCACAUUCAAUGGGCAGUAAUAUAAAUUAUAUAAAAUUAUACGUAAUAUAUUUUACCCAUCAUUCAUAUACCAGUUACAGUCAAAUAGCAACAAUUAUUUACUAUUACUAGUUUCGUAAACACAAGAUACAUAAUAUGAAAGUUGGUUUACCUGGUUGCUCCACUGUAUUCCCUUAGUAAUCCUUCUUUGACUUUACUUCUUACUAUAUACGAACUACAAGAGAUUGUAAUAAGAAGAGAGGGGUUCGGACUGUUCAGUAAUAUAGUUGGACAUGAAAGGAAAUUCUUCGUCGGUAGCUGCCCCGCCCCUUAGUUCCGCCUGUGGUUAUGUUACUUCUCAAUCAGAAGAAGCAAUCUUAGGGUGGCUUGAGGCCACUUAGCUGAUCUAAAGGGAGUAAUUUUAAUCCUAU